rnacentral:rRNA from 1 species
UACAGAGGUCUCAAGCGUUGUUCGGAUUCAUUGGGCGUAAAGGGUGUGUAGGUGGCGCGCUAAGUCGGGUGUGAAAUCUUGGAGCUUAACUCCGAAACUGCAUUCGAUACUGCCGUGCUUGAGGACUGGAGAGGAGACUGGAAUUUACGGUGUAGCGGUGAAAUGCGUAGAUAUCGUAAGGAAGACCAGUGGCGAAGGCGGGUCUCUGGACAGUUCCUGACGCUGAGGCACGAAGGCCAGGGGAGCGAACGGG